GACAGUGUAGCUCAAUGGAUAGAGUGUGUGUCUCCGGAACACAAGGUUGCGGGUUCGACCCCCGCCACUGUCA
rnacentral:tRNA from 1 species